rnacentral:rRNA from 1 species
AUUGAACGCUGGCGGCAGGCCUAACACAUGCAAGUCGAACGAGCGGCGGACGGGUGAGUAAUGUCUGGGGAACUGCCCGAUAGAGGGGGAUAACUACUGGAAACGGUAGCUAAUACCGCAUACUAUCGGAUGUGCCCAGAUGGGAUUAGCUAGUAGGUGGGGUAAAGGCUCACCUAGGCGACGAUCCCUAGCUGGUCUGAGAGGAUGAUCAGCCACACUGGGACUGAGACACGGCCCAGACUCCUACGGGAGGCAGCAGUGGGGAAUAUUGCACAAUGGGCGCAAGCCUGAUGCAGCCAUGCCGCGUGUAUGAAGAAGGCCUUAGGGUUGUAAAGUACUUUCAGCGGGGAGGCGUUACCCGCAGAAGAAGCACCGGCUAACUCCGUGCCAGCAGCCGCGGUAAUAC